ACACGCAUGACACACUGCAUAUCAAUAAGCGGAGGAAAAGAAACUAACAAGGAUUCCCUUAGUAACGGCGAGUGAAGCGGGAAGAGCUCAAAUUUGAAAUCUUCAAGGGUUCUACCUUUACGAAUUGUAGUUUAUAAGAAGUGUUUUCUGUUAGUAGAGUUCGGCUAAAAGUUCUUUGGAAUAGGACAUCAUAGAGGGUGAGAAUCCCGUAUUUGUACAGUUACUUUCUAGCUGUGUGAUACACUUUCAACGAGUCGGAUUGUUUGGGAAUGCAGUCCAAGAUGGGUGGUAAAUUUCAUCUAAAGCUAAAUAUUGGCGAGAGACCGAUAGCGAACAAGUACCGUGAGGGAAAGAUGAAAAGAACUUUGAAAAGAGAGUUAAACAGUACGUGAAAUUGUCAAAAGGGAAGCGUUUGACACCAGUGUUGUUUAGUUGAAAAUCAAUUCAAUAGUUUUUGAUUCUAAGUAGUAUUGACUUCAUCAGCUUGCUGCUUUCUUCUCAGAAAUUAUUGAAUGCACUUUUCAGUUAACAAGUCAACAUCAAUUUCUUUUGUUGUAAAAGGGUAAGAGGAAGGUGGCUUGCGCUUCGGCUCAAGUGUUUAUAGCCUUUUAUCUCUGCAAUCGGAGAGAUUGAGGUCUGCAGCGUAGAUCCUUCGGGGCUAGAUACAUUGGUGCUAAGCUAUAGCCUUGUAUAGACAACUUGUUGACUAUGCUCAGUCAUGUAGCUUACUCGCUGAUGCUAUUUUACCUACGCUUAGGAUGUUGAGUAGCGACAUACGCAC
rnacentral:rRNA from 1 species